GACGAAGGAUGCAAGCGUUAUCCGGAUUCAUUGGGCGUAAAGGGUGCGUAGGCGGCGCGGUAAGUCGGGUGUGAAAUCUUGGAGCUUAACUCCGAAACUGCAUUCGAUACUGCCGUGCUUGAGGACUGGAGAGGAGACUGGAAUUCACGGUGUAGCAGUGAAAUGCGUAGAUAUCGUGAGGAAGACCAGUGGCGAAGGCGGGUCUCUGGACAGUUCCUGACGCUGAGGCGCGAAGGCCAGGGGAGCAAACGGG
rnacentral:rRNA from 1 species